GAUGAACGCUAGCGACAGGCUUAACACAUGCAAGUCGAGGGGCAGCGGGGGCGAAAGCUUGCUUUCGCCUGCCGGCGACCGGCGCACGGGUGAGUAACACGUAUGCAACCUGCCCGCAGCAGGGGGAUAAGCCGGAGAAAUCCGGUCUAAUACCGCGUAAAACCCUGAGGGGACAUCCCCAUGGGGUCAAAGGAGCAAUCCGGCUGCGGAUGGGCAUGCGUCGCAUUAGGCAGUUGGCGGGGUAACGGCCCACCAAACCGACGAUGCGUAGGGGUUCUGAGAGGAAGGUCCCCCACACUGGUACUGAGACACGGACCAGACUCCUACGGGAGGCAGCAGUGAGGAAUAUUGGUCAAUGGGCGGAAGCCUGAACCAGCCAAGUCGCGUGAGGGAAGACGCUCCUAUGGAUUGUAAACCUCUUUUGCCGGGGAGCAAGCCGGGUCUGCGGACCCGCGUUGAGAGUACCCGGAGAAAAAGCAUCGGCUAACUCCGUG
rnacentral:rRNA from 1 species